AGGGAAUGUUGAGGGCAUUUUCUCAAUAACUCCUUAAAUCUCUCCCAAGCAUCAUAGAGAGACUCAUUAUCCUGUUGGACAAAAAAUGUAAUUUCAUUUCUCAUCUU